rnacentral:rRNA from 1 species
GCAAGUUGAACGAACAAAGCUGGAGCUUGCUUCAGCCGCGUAAGUGGCAAACGGGUGAGUAACACGUGGGAAUCUACCCAUCAGUACGGAAUAACAUUUGGAAACAAAUGCUAAUACCGUAUAUUCUCUACGGAGGAAAGAUUUAUCGCUGAUGGAUGAGCCCGCGCAAGAUUAGGUAGUUGGUGGGGUAAUGGCCUACCAAGCCGACGAUCUUUAGCCGACCUGAGAGGGUGAUC